UGUAUCACAGUGUGUACCAAAAACAAAUGUUUCCCAAAUCCUUGCUCUAGAUUUCUGUGGACUGGCAGUGCUUUCAUUUUUCAUUUGGAUCAGGACUGCGUAUUUAAUGCACUUAGGAGUUAUGGCAGUGAAACCGAACUAAAGCCGGGCUUUGUACUGGCAUUGUCGGGACUUGACCUUUGGCUUUCAGCUGUUUGCCAGCGACCUGUUUGGUUUACCUCGUGUCCUUCUCCAGGAGCUGCCGGAUGAAGCUCUUGGCCAGCUCGCUCGUGUUGCUGAAGAACUCCUCGUCGAAGUCGUAGCUCAUCGCCGAGAUGUUUCCCAUCGUCUCCUGCUUGGUGUCACCCAGGAAAGAGCGACAUAAAGCAUCCUUUGACCAGCUGGCAUCCCAGAAGCAUGAUAUUCUUUCACUGUCAUACAAAGAGGACAGAAUGGACGGAUCACUGGAUUACGCACACAGUUUGCGAUCCUGCCGCUAACGGUCACAGUCACAGUUCAUCCCUGCUUUAAUUGGACAGAGCCUUCAAUUAGUCCCAGUUUUCAGUUCUCCAUGUUCCCAUGCGGGGGCUGGCUGGACACAGACAGGGUCCUCUCAGGACUGAUCAACACAACUGUUACUGUCGCUGAGAGACAUUCAGUUCUUUCCUGGAACAACACUCGACAAUGGAUUUCAGCAAACCCGUGUUUAACAAACCAAGCGUGGACAAAACACUCAUGGAGCGGGACAUGUAGUGAAUUUUAAAAACUCUGUAAACACUACUUAACAUAUUACACGCUAAGUUAAACAGGCUGCGAUCAUGUGACUGCAGAAGAAAUGGACACAAAUCUCUACUGUGUAGAUGUUUGGGGGUUUUCAGGGAGAGGUUUUUAUAGUGGGAGGUGAUUCUCCCAAAGGAAACAGUUUCAGGGGAGACUCAGUUCAAUGAGGUUAAAUAUUACAUAAGUACGGUUGCUCUGAAGUGCAAAAUAUGACCAUAAAUUACAAAACACCUGCAAAACGAUGGCGCUCAUCACUGAUUGGAUGGAUGCACUGUCGAAAUGUGUUAGUCAUUGUUAAUGCUUAUUUGCCAUUGGGGUUUGGGAUGUGUUGUGUUUCGUGAUUUGCCUUUAAUGUGAAUGUAAUAGUAACCAAAAGGAUUUCAGACUAAAACCUUGUGAUUUUGUAACGUUCAGAAACACAGCGUUUGUUGGGGAAUGUUUCUGAUAAGUCUUUACUUGUUUGUACUUGUUAAAUUCUUGAUUGUCUAUUGGAUUAAAGAAAAUAACCGUG